CUCGCGACUUGAUAGUGCAAUUUCACUGUACGUGUCGCAAAAACAUUUUGGUGAUGUCCUUAUAAAUUACUGCUGUACCAGGACCUGGUGUUUUGGUCCACGCUAAAUGUGUAUUUAUAUGUUUCUGUAUACAGAUUUUCGUUAAACCUACGUUUCUUUGCGGACAGAUUUGUGCGCAAAAAUGCAUGAUUUUGUACAAAUGACACAGGUGUUCUUGUUAAAAAAUGUGUGCAAAAUGAAAUAGCUUAAAUUCCUACAAAUGAAAGAUUCAAAUCCAGUUAGUGUGUGCACACGCCGGCACGGAUGGGUUUGCCUCCUCUUUUGUAUGCACACUAAAAUAUUAUGAACGUUUUUGUUCGCAGCUUAUGAAUUUCUCUGUGCGUGCUCCGCUGAUGCAUUUUUAAUACGACACUGUGAAAAACAUUGUUAUUCAGGCGCGUUAAAAAAUGCAUAAGCGCAGCAUGGUCAGGGAAAUCUGUAAAUUGUCAAUCGAAACGUCCAUAAGAUUUUAGUGUCCGCAUUGAAUGGGGAUGUGGGUGAAGGUGAGAGUGGUAUCGACUCGGCGUACCGUCACGCCUGUGUGACUGCUUGUCCGCAGCCCACGAUUGCGAUGGCGUUCACGUCUGAGCGAGCUGGUCAGGGUCACGCGUCUCCCGGGCAUUGGCGUCAUAGUCGCAGCCUGGGAUGGGGCAGGUGCUGCCUCGUUUGUGUCGUUUGCUCGCGUUCUCCUCCUGGAGGAGCAGACUCGCCCGCCAUGCGCGCGUGGGGUGCGGGUGCCGCCGUCCGCCCGGUGUGGAGCGCCGUCCGACCGGCGCUUAUGGUAGCGCAGGUCUGCUCUGUGCUGGUCAUCAGCCUCGUGUCGACGGCCAGCAGGCUGCCGCCGUGGUACACCGCCCACGCCCUGCUUGUGGCCGCCUUCGUCGCGAGCAUGGGCGCCACGUUCGCCUUCUCCGAGCCCCUGCUGGCCGUCCCCGAGAGGGGCAUCAAGAACCGCGUCAGAUACUUUUCGUCCCUCGUCGGGUACUCGGAGGUCGUCACGCUGGUGCUGCUGUGGCUGCGAGCGGCCGGGCGCUGGGCCGGCAUGUGGACCCACAUCGGUGACCUGGAGGGCCGCCUGUGGGGGCGCGGGGAGCGCCACCUGCCGCGCCUGCGCUCGCACACCAGGGCCGUCACGUGCGUCUUUCUCAUCGUCCACAUUCCUCAAGAGGCCUCUAUCGUGUGGCGAAGGCUGGCCUCUGUUUCGAGCCUGUACGACCUGGGUCAGAUGACGUGCAGCCUGUGCAUCUUGUUGGUGUUUAACGUCAGCGCCAUGCUGCUCGUCGUGCUGAGCGACAUGCUGGCAGAGUGCUUCCGCGCGCUCACUGCCAAGUUACAUUGCGCUUCGAAGAAGAACGGUGGCCAGAUCCCGCCGGGCGUCGUGGAGGACGUCAGGGUCCUGUACAACGAGGUGCGCAGGCUGACGGACGCCCUGGACGACAUCCUGGGCGCCAUACUGCUUGUGAUGCUCUUUGCGGACGGCCUCUUCAUUUGCCGGUUCCUCCUCCACUGGUUCACGCCCUCUGUUCACACACUGUACGCAUACCUGACUGUGGGCAUCGUGACGGCCAGGUUCGUCUUCACGAUCCACACGGUCUCUUCGGUGUCCAGCGAGUGGGAGUCGACUAGGUCGCACCUGUACAGAAUGUCACCGCACUUGUGCGGGAAGGAGGUUUCGCGCUUUAUCCUGCAGGUCACCACUGACCAAAUUUCACUGACAGCUCUUGGCAUUGUGCCCAUAACGAAACCUCUCAUGCUUGCGUUCCGGUUGAGGCUAAGGUUUUCGAUCAUCUCCCCGCAUUACCUUCACUCUCAACCCCUCUUCCGCACCAAAGCAAUAUCAUCAGGGUGAGAGUGGCAUUGAUCCGCUCUUCGGUGUGCUCGUCAGUUGGUCAUCACCGCUGGCCGUCACUCGGCUCGAUACAGUUCUGCAGUCGUCUGGUCGGUGUCGUCCCGGAGGAAGUGUGGGUGUAAGCGUAAGCGCGGCUAGGCCCGGAUGUGCGCGGGCCGCGCGUCCCGGCGGGGGUCGGCGCAUGGUUCCGCGCGAGCGUGGCCACACUGUGGCCACGCCCCGCCGGUACCUGGUGUGGUCGGCCAUUCGGCCGGCGCUC